CAAGCAAGAAAGAGCGCAGGGUGGAUGCCUUGGCACUAAGAGCCGAAGAAAGACGUGAUAAGCUGCGAUAAGCCGCGGGGAGCUGCAAAUAAGCAAUGAUCCACGGAUCUCUGAAUGGGGAAACCCGGCACGAGCGAUCGUGUCAUCGUUAACUGAAUCCAUAGGUUAACGAAGGGAACCCGGUGAACUGAAACAUCUAAGUAGCCGGAGGAAGAGAAAGAAACAUCGAUUCCCGAAGUAGCGGCGAGCGAAACGGGAAGAGGCCAAACCAUGGUGCGUGCACCGUGGGGUUCGGACUGCAAACGUGAUUCAUAACUGUCAGCAGAAUGGUUUUGGGAAAGCCAGCCAAAGAGGGUGAAAGCCCCGUACGCGAAGACGGAAGUGACAUAGCAGGAUCCAGAGUACAUCGAGACACGUGAAACCUUGAUGGAAUGAGCGGAGACCACUCCGUAAGCCUAAAUACUACUUAGUGACCGAUAGCGCAUAGUACUGUGAAGGAAAGGUGAAAAGGACCCCGGGAGGGGAGUGAAAGAGAACCUGAAACCCUGUGUUUACAAGCUGUGGAACACCGCAAGGUGAACCGCGUACUUUUUGUAGAACGGUCCGGCGAGUUACGCGGACUGGC
rnacentral:rRNA from 1 species